AACGACCGAUGUGAUGCGAGCGCGGCCCGUCUACAGCAACCGGUGUUGUGUUCCGCAUGCGUACAAGAAAACCAAAUAGCCGGUUGAUUAAAGACGCUCCAGCCUCAGUUAGAAAACAGAAGAAGAGACAUGUCAGGCAUACAAGGAAACCAGAUAAACGGAUAGAUAAAAACCACGCAGCAAUCCAGCAUCACUUAUGAAAAUAGGAAACGGCAGAAGAAAAAGGUGUCAGGUAAAAAUCAGCACAGUAACAAUGUUAAUGCAACCCAUAACUUCCCUGAAAGAAAGUGUAGAUUGAACUUCAUAUGGCAUGCACAGCUAGUGUUAAUUAUAUCUCUUCCAUUAAAAUUCUAAUGCCUAAGCUUUCAGGUCAGAAUCAUAGCAUAUGGAAAUCAGGAGAUUUCACCCUGUGCCUAGAUGGACCUGUCUGAGUAUUAUAGCACAUAGAUUGUUCAAUGCAAUGCUUUCCAGAUAGGAUGUUAAAGGCACUGAAUGAUUCGUUUCGGAUUAUUCAGAUCAACGCAAUAUAAAGUGGCACGAACGGUCCAAAUUAUCUGUAAUCGACAGAUGUGACUUCACAUGGAUGCACAAGUAGCCAUCAAUGUUCAUCCUGAUGCAAUCAAGUAGACCAAGCAUAUACAUGUCCCAUUCUUGGAGAUACACCAAUGGAGCAAAAGUAUCAUGUAUCCUCAGCAAGACACCAAAACCCCUUGGACCCAUGCUCUCUCAACCGAUGGGAAACUAAUGU